GAAAGACUGUGUAAGGCCAUCAGCAGGUCUGACCAAGACAAUCUGGUCUGCUCACGAUCCGCUCCAGGUGGCUCUUUGCUCUUUGAUAGUGCCGAGCGGUCAUGCCAGACGGACCUCAAGAGCAAGACCAGAGAUACACUGGUGCGCAGCUCUGCAGUGUGAGACCUGAGAGACUCCAGUGUUCCAUGUGGGCUGUGUGUGAGACGUUUAUUGCGCGCUACAGUCGUGUGCAAGAAGGAUUUGGCUACAUUUCCAUGUUAGACCCUUUUCGUAAAUAUGACUUUCCCGUUUUGCCUUGACUUGUACAUUACAUAUAGUCCAUGUUGUCAGUGUUGCUGGUUGUAUACAUGUGUGCAUGUAUGUAAGAAUUAUGUACAAUACACCUUCACUCCUUGGUC